ensembl:lncRNA
AGGCUGAUGAAAUAAUUUUCCUGUGGAAUUGUUUGUCAGACUUUGACAAGUGUCGCACAGUGUACCCCCCACGUCACCAGGAUACACUCGCACAUGGCAGAUUCAGGACGUCAAAAAAGGCUGUUGCGCCUGGUGUGGAGAGUACAAAGCGAUGCUUUGCAGGAGGGAGAAGCCCAGCACAGUGGCCAGACUGCAAUCGGGUUUGUGAGGCACUCUUCGUCCAACUUUGCGAGGAGUACCGUGGAUCGAGGCGGAUUGAUGGGGUCCACCACGAGCGCUGGAGUCUGGUUAAGAAAGCGUACCUCCACAUCCGUCAGGUGGUUUUAAACAACGCCACGGUGAUGGAGAAGACCUCACUUCAGCUCCCGGUCGUGAACACGGCAACACUCUCGAGUUGGUACUGCAAACGGGGAAGAGGACAGGAGAAGAGGAUUCUCGAGCAAGGGAUCUGUCCACCUCAGACAACAACUGUGAACCCCGAGAGCCUGCCUCCUGCAGUUCAGAGGAAAGGCAAACCGUGUAUGCCUCAAAGCAUCGUGGCAUAUUCCCACGUAUUUGUUCUGCCACCUAACACUGCAGGGACGGCAACACUGCAGGGACGGAAGAUCAGAAGAGUGAACCCUCCUUCUGAUCUUCUGAGGCCACCAUGCCUCAAUCCCUCUGGUCUGUGCCUCAACCUCACCUGUCUGCCUUACAGCCUGCAGGAGCAUCUGUGGUACAUGUGCCAUACCUACCAUAUACCACCACCCACUAUCGAAAGAAAAAAAGAGAGGAGGAGGAGAAGACUGGUUUCAAGAAGAGGAAAUAUACAAGGAGUAGUGCCC